GUUCACCUUCAACCCUCCACAACAACUCUUCCAAAUCCAUCGGUGGAUACCGACCCACCCAGUAGUGAACAACAGCGGAUUUGUUCCUUCCCCAACAAUCGCUGUCGGUUCCAGCUCGAAUCACCUUCGACAGCAACAACCAAAUCACCUCGUCGUGCCACGAAACCGCCGGUAAAAGCUAUUCAAAGAAGGAGCCAGCCCAAUAAUUUCACGUCUGCUUCAAUA
rnacentral:lncRNA from 1 species